UACGUAGGGGGCAAGCGUUGUCCGGAAUCAUUGGGCGUAAAGCGCGUGUAGGCGGCUCGGUAAGUCCGCUCUGAAAGUCCAGGGCUCAACCCUGGGAUGCGGGUGGAUACUGCCGAGCUCGAGUCCGGAAGAGGCGAGUGGAAUUCCCGGUGUAGCGGUGAAAUGCGCAGAUAUCGGGAGGAACACCUAUGGCGAAGGCAGCUCGCUGGGACGUUACUGACGCUGAGACGCGAAAGCGUGGGGAGCAAACAGG
rnacentral:rRNA from 1 species